rnacentral:rRNA from 1 species
UACGUAGGGAGCAAGCGUUGUCCGGAAUCAUUGGGCGUAAAGCGCGCGUAGGCGGCCCUGUAAGUCCGUUGUGAAAACUCGAGGCUCAACUUCGAGCUGUCGGUGGAAACUUUCUGGCUAGAGUCCGGAAGAGGAGAAUGGAAUUCCUGGUGUAGCGGUGAAAUGCGCAGAUAUCAGGAAGAACACCCGUGGCGAAGGCGGUUCUCUGGGACGGUACUGACGCUGAGACGCGAAAGCGUGGGGAGCGAACAGG